GUAUCUCCUCGGCAAGGUUGAUCUUCAGAUAUUGGCUGAUCUUCCCCAAUAGAUUGCACUUGCUCCCAGUCAGAGUUUCCUCCUGGUUUUUGAGCAGCUUUUAUUGAUUUAUUUUCUCUAUAGGAUUGUCUCCCAUUUGUAUGGUGUUGACCUAAAAUUCCCCAUAGAUUGUAUGUUCUAUCCUCAGCAGAUCCCCUCUUUCCCCAUUUAGGGUUGAGCCUUUUGGGAUG
rnacentral:lncRNA from 1 species